CCUUGCAAUGACACCUUGUUAAGGCCCUGCAAUGACACCGUAUUUUGUUAAGGCCCUGCAAUGACACCGUAUUUUGUUAAGGCCCUGCAAUGACACCUUGUUAAGGCCCUGCAACGACACCGUAUUAAAGUCAAAUUGGCUUACCCGUUACCAGCAUCUUGAUGUCAUUUCAAAAUUGAUUGUGUUCAGUUGUGAUGAUGGCGGGGAUGAGUGGGGAAUAGGAGGGGAGGAAGCGAGUUAAAAACACGAGAAGAUACUAAUAGUCUUGUAUCCCCAUCACACAUCACAUCACACA
rnacentral:sRNA from 1 species